rnacentral:ncRNA from 2 species
CAGGCACCUCGUUUGGUGAGGCGUCUUCACGGACACACGCCGCUGGUCUCAUCCGCGAGUGGCUUCCCCUGGGCAUGGGGUGCCCGUGAAGGGCUGUAGCCCGACGAGUUGGGGUGAGCC